rnacentral:tRNA from 1 species
GGGCGUAUGGCGAAAUUGGUAGACGCGCUGGAUUUAGGUUCCAGUGGGGAAACCCAUCAGAGUUCAAGUCUCUGUACGCCCACCA